rnacentral:rRNA from 1 species
AUUGAACGCUGGCGGCAUGCCUUACACAUGCAAGUCGAACGGUAACGGGCCUUCGGGUGCCGACGAGUGGCGAACGGGUGAGUAAUACAUCGUAACGUGCCCGAUCGUGGGGGAUAACGAGGCGAAAGCUUUGCUAAUACCGCCUACGAUCUACGGAUGAACGCAUAGGUCCGCCAGCCCUUGCUCGGCCGGUUCGGGCGAUAGCGGACUAGGUAGGUGGUGGGACAUAAGUUUACGAAGCCGACGAUCUGCAGCGGGUCUGCUAGGAUGAUCAGCCAGCCGGUGACUGAGACAGGGCCCAGACUCCUACGGGAGGAAGCAGUGGGGAAUUUUGGACAAUGGGGGCAAGCCUGAUCCAGCCAUGCCGCGUGCAGGAUGAAGGCCUUCGGGUGGUAAACUGCUUUUGUACGGAACGAAAAGCCUUCUUUUAAUACAGGAGGGUCAUGACGGUACCGUAAGAAUAAGCACCGGCUAACUACGUG